CGGGCGUCGUCUAGGCUCCUUUAAAGGAGCCGCGCCCCAGAUCAGCCUACUUCACUGCAGAUUCCUGCCAAAGCUGGUAGGGUAGAGGAGCAAGAAACCAAAAAUCAGAACUCAUCGGUGGUCUUCGGGGAACCUAAUAGAGACUGGUCAGCCUUUUCUUGGAUGAAGUAACAGUUUUCAGGCUCCAAGGCCUGGGCCACUGUGACCUGGUGUGAGAGGAAGUACACGAAACGCUACUCAGUGUCUCCUCUGCAAUGGAAAGGGACUUGGUCCCACUCACAUGCACAAGUGACUGGCGGCUUGACUUGGUAUCUUGGCACUCCUGGUGACUGUCUGGGAAAAGCUAAAGCCGCUUUCACAGUUCCAGUGUCUCCAAGCAAUCUCUUUGGAUUCGGAACCUGUCACAGAGAGGAUGAAGCCACUCAGAGCAGCAGAACCUUCAAGAUCCGAUCUCCUCUCCAAAGACCACCAGAGGACAAGACAAGACCACAGGAAAAGGUGGGUUCCAGGAAUCGGGUGUGAAGUGAUGUCUCAGUGGGGUUUUACCAUCUCCACCCCCCCUCCCACCACCAGCGAUUACUGAUGAGCGGAGCACUGGUGUUAGCGGUCACAUGUCUUCCUUUGAGAUAUGCUAUUCACAUCUUUUGAGUGGCUUUUCUUCUCUGUACAUUGCUGGGACUGGGCCUGCCAGGCAAGUGGCUCUACCACUAGGCUGCAUCCCAGGCCCUUUGCUCCUUUUAAUUGGGCUGUUUGUUUUCUCAAGAUGGAGUUGUUUGAAUUCCUUAUGUUAUUUAUAGAUAGGAAGAAAAGCCAAAGAGUAGGAAAGCCCUCUCUGCGUUGUGCUGAAUUUAAAUUCCAAGCAUAUUCCUAUUUUAAGUUUUGCUACUUCUGUGUUUACUUGAUUUGAUUUAAUUUUGAUUUUGUAGCGCUGGGGUUUGAACCCAGAGCCUCACACAUGCCAAGCAAGUGCUCUAUUACUGAGCUAUCAUCACCGAAGCUGUUUCCACUUUGACCUGUUGCUUGUGGAUGAAUUCCCUCAUCACCCUGCCCCAUCUUAGCCCUCCAGUUCAAAUUCCAAUUAUUUGUCUGCUCCUUGGCUUUCUGAUGCCACUUUCUGUUUCAAACAUUCCUUUCCCCUUUCCUAUCGUGGCAAUCCUGAGACUCCAGAUUCCCUCUUUUGCAUUCUUAAACAGCACCCCACAGCGCCUACUCCACAAAGCGGGCACCUUUCCCUUGCUAUGUGCCCAGCUGCUGCAUUAUAGUGACAGGGAGCUCAAAGGAGCUGUUGACACCCAUGGGCUUACAUUUGCAAUGGGCUUGGAAGCUGAGAGAAAAUACCAGAAGGAAUCUAGGAACCAAACACAGGGAAUGGUGCCACCCACAGUGAGGAUACCCCUCAGGUAUGUCCAGAGACCCAUCUCCGAGGUAAUUCUAGAUGUCAUCAAGUUGACAAUUGAAAUUAACCUUCACAAACACCACCUUUCCUAUAGAAAUGUGCUAAGUCUAACAUUUGACAUUAUACUCUUGAAAUUGUAAACAAAUUACUGACCCAACACAGAAAUUCAGAAACUGCAUGCAGUGAAAUUAGCUACAAAAUAAGGGCUUGCUGGACAAGCAUGAGGACCUGAGUGGGAUUCCCAGCAUCCAUGUAGAAAGGUGGGCACAAUGGGAUGUACUUGUAAUUAGCACCCAGGAGGCAAAUACUGGCAGAUUCUGUAGAACUAGAGUUUUAAAAAGGUUACUCAUUGUCAGAGUCCGGAUGUGCAGGGCCGGACGUGCCUGAGGGAGAGCCAGAGAGAGGACUUGCCAAACCAGCUAUCAGCCCCAAGGACAUUGAUCAUCUGUAGCCACCCCCUCCCCUUCCUUCACCCCCCUGAGUGAGAUGAGCCACCCUACCUGCCUGCCGAGCUGCUAGAGAGCACGUACACCUUGCUGAUGUAAUUUCGCACCGAAAGUAACUGUGCACCAUUUGAAUUGACCAAUCAUGUGUAACCACGCGAAUACCCCUAUAUAAACCCCCGAGUUUGGAAGCUCGGGGUCGAUUCCUCUGUCUCCUGUGUGGGAUACGUAUCGACCCGGGAUCCCGCUAAUAGGGAUCUCGUUAAUAAAAGCUACCUCCUGCUGUUACAUCAAGAUGGCUACUUCGUGAUUCCUGGGGGCACCCCAUCCCACGAUUGGAGUAAGAAAUGCGGCUCCCCGUUUAAGCUCUUUCAAUUCCAGGGUCUUGUAGGACAGCUAGUACAGCCAAAUGGUGGUCAGCAACUGGCCAUGUUUCCAAAAAAAGAAAAACGUGCAGAAGCAGUUGAGGAAAAUACCCUAAUACCACCUUUAGCCUAACACACACACACACACACACACACACACACACACACACACAAACACACACACAUACACACAUACACACACAAACACACAUACACACACAAACACACAUACACACAAACAUACACACAUACACACAAACACACAUACUAACACAUACACACAUACACACACAAACAUACACACAUACACAAACACACACACAAACACACACACAUACACACACAAACACAAACACACACACAAACAUACACACAUACACAAACACACACACACACACACACACACACACACACUAACACCUGUCACACGGCUUCAUUCUUCAUUCCUACACAUGGGUGUAGCUACAAGGCAACAUAACCCAUCUUCAUUCCUCUGUACAUCAGCCACUGGACUAAAAGAAUUGGAUUCAAAAGAGUGGAGAGGAGACAAGAUUCUCUUCCAAUCACUCACAGAUAAGGAGUGACCCUCAUUUGUAUUGUACUUAUACUAGAUCCCAGCAAGAUGUGUUCGUUUUUGAAUGGUGAAAAGUCACCUCUCUUUUUAUUACCUGUACAUAUGCUCUGUUCACAAAACACACCUUACAGUAUUCUAGGUUUAUGUUAUUUAAACUAUUAAAGAUAAAAUUGUAUAAAGGUCUACACUAUUGAUGCUAGCUUAGAAAUCCAAGGGCUUUGAACCAGUAAGGACAUUUGUGGAAAAUGUUCAGCCUUGCUUGUGGCUGACUUAUUUCUGAUGGAUUUUGGUAUGUGUGGGAAGGAGUCAGGUUGAGAUCAUUGUAUACUUUAAGUCUCAGUACUGUCAGUUUUCCAUACAAAUGAAUGACCUUUUGUUAAGUGAUGAAUUAAAAAAUUAAUCAUUUAAUAAGGGAGUAAGGAGUUGGUUUCCAGCAAUGGUGCUAAAAUUAUCCACUAAAGGAAGAACAGACUUUUUGACAAGUGGACACCCACAUGCAAAAGAAAUAAUUUACCCAAUCCGAUACACACAAAUAAACUCAAAAUAGCAUUUAAAAACCUAAAUAUAGGAGUCAAAGCCCUUCUCUUUUAGAGGGAAAUAUGGCUAUAAAUCUCCAUGUUCUUAGAUUAGGCAACAAUUUCUUAAAUUUGACACCAAAACACAGGCAAUAAAGGAGAAAAUAAAUAAAGAAUAUUUUAUUAUAACUAAAGACUUGUACAUAAAGGUCACUAUCUAGAAGGCAAAAGUAAUUCAAACUGCAAAAUAAGAGAAAACAUUUGUAACUAAUAUAUCUGCCUAAGGUCUAGAAUAUAUAAAUAACUCUUAGAAUUCAACAACAAGAUAUACAACUCAAUUUAAGACAAAGGACUUAAAUAGGCAUUUCUCCAAAGAAAAUAUACAAAUGUCCAACAAGCACAUUAAAACAAUCUCAACAACAUUAGUCAUUAGGGGGAAAUGCAAUUCAAAACCCAAAUGAAUUUACAUUGGUUUUCAUCCCCAUUAGUAUAGCUAUAAUAAAAAUAAACAAAAUUACAAGAGACGGUGAGGCUGUGAAGAAAUUAGAGCCCUUGUACAUUGCGAGUGGGACUAUAAAAUGGCACAGCUGCUCUGGAAAACAGCUUGGCAGUUUCUCAAAAAGUUAAACAUAGAACUACCCAUAACCCUGCAUUUCCACUCAUAAAUAUAUACACGAGAGAAUUGAAAACAUAUGUCCACACGAAACCUCGUACAUGGACACUCACAGAAGCAUUAUUCAUACCAACCCAGAAAUGGAAGCCAUUCCAACGCCCAUCAGCUGACGAACAGGUAAACAAAGCGUGCUCUCCCACAUAACAGAAUAUUAUUCAACCAGGAAAAGAAACGAGGCACCAAUUCGUGUUACCACACGGAUGAACCUUAAAACAUUAUGAUAAGUAUACAAAAGGCUGUGUGUUGGAUAAUUCCAUUUAUAUGAAGUGUCCAGAAUAAGCAAGUCCAUAGAGACAGAAAGUAGGUUAGAGGCUCCCUAGGGCCAGGAACCAGGAGAGACAGAUAAAAGUUAAACAGGCAGAGCAUUUCUAUGGGGGAAACUGAAAAUGGUCUGGGAGGAGGUAGGAAUGAUGGCUGCCCUAUUCUUUCAAAUGUCCUAAAGACCACUUAAAAUAGUUAAUUGUAUGCUAUGUGAACUUAAUCUCAAAAGAAAGAGUAAGGAGGCCUCCUAUGUUUCAUCGUGAUGGAUUUAGUUAACUGUCAGGACCUGCUGUUUCCAUGAGCUAAUGUGGUUCAGAGGCACAUUUUCUGCUGGGUUCCAACACAGAAAUGCAGGGGUGGGGCAUGAUACCGAUAUGAUGUGGGCUUUGUUAUCAAAGUCUUUAUGCUCCAUUGGAGGAUUCAUACCCAUUUUUCACCAAGUAGAGCAACGGCCUGAAGAUCAGAAGCGGUGAGAGCCAGUACCCAUUCUGAAGGAGAAACACUAUAAGGUAGGGCGGAGUUAUGACUCAGUUUGUAGAGUUCUUCUAGUUCUCUAGGUCUAGCAUGUACCAGGCCCUGUGUUCAAUGCCCAACACCCAUUAAAACUAGGUGUGGUGGUGCAUGCCUGUAAUCUCAGAGAGUCAGAGGUAGAGGCAGGAACUCCUAGGUGCAGAGCAGAUUAGAGGCCGGCCUGAGCUCCUAGAGAUCCUAUAGGUCUCAUAGAGGUGUGUGUGUGUGUGUGUGUGUGUGUGUGUGUGUGUGUGUGUGUGUGUGUGUGAUAUGAGGGCUUUACAGGAUGAAAAGGAACUUGACACAUAUUUGAGGUGUUGAAGAGCAUUCUGGGAAGUAGGACUGACUUAAACAAAGGCUGAGAGAUGUAUCAAGCAUUCAAAAGUAGCCAUUUUGUGCCUGGAUUAUGAUCCCAGCUCUCUGCUAUUCCUUUUUCUUAAACACCAGAGCCAUUCUCUGCUUUGAUCCAUGGUUCUUAUCUCGAAGAAGAUGCCUUCCAUGUGAAAGCUGGGAAAGAGAAACGUUGUCCUUGAACUUUAGUGGAGCUUGACAGGAUCCUUCAUCAAAUCCUACCUGCAGUUUUCUGAGCACGUGGAACGGAGUCAGUGCCCGGCUCUGGUCCUACAGGCUAUAUCUCCUUUCUUGAACCUCUCUUUGCUACAAGGACUAGGUACAUCUACCUGCUAGACAGAUGUUUUUCUUCCCACUUAUAGAGGCUUUUGAUCCAUGGAUAAGGAAGCCAGGGACAAAAGAAGACCCGCUCCAUUCUUCUGGGAAGAGCUGUCGAAUCUGUCUCCUUGGGAAGUUAGAUGGAUUUGGCUCCUAUUUGGAUGGCAAACCCACUGCCUGAAGGUGGAGAGUGGGGGAUAGUUGGAGAGGGUCUUGGUGCCUAAUGAAUUGUUCAGCAGAGUGCCCCACAGAAAGAAAGGCAGAUUCUCAAUCUGGAGCCAUGGAGCCCCUAAUGCCUCCCAGAUGAGGAACUAGCCAUAGACCUCCAAGGGUGUACUUGCUGACAUUUGCUCUCACAAGCACUGGGCAUAAGCCUAUUUUAUUGUGUUUAGCAUUGUGCAUGCAGAACAUGACAUUGCAAACACAAGCAUCCUGGACGAUGGAGCUGGUCCUCGGCAGACUUUCUCUAAAGCCAGAGAUAAUCCCUCCUGCACCAGAGCGCCAGCGUGAUGAUCCAGUCAGUGUCUAAAGCCCCAUGUGCUUACAGGAGAUCAAACAUCUGUCUCAGGCAAUUCUAGUCUACUGCCUAUCCAAAAGUGGAUCUAAGCAUGUGCCUACCUGAGACUGAUGUCCUACCCUGUAACAGUGAGUGAGGGUAGAAGACAUACAACAGAGUAAAUAUGCUCCCCUAUACUCUGGACCAAAUGAGACAUGAUUUAACACUGACCUGUCCUUGAACCAGCUGAUAAUUUGUUUUUAAAAUCCAAGCAAGCACGACUCCCAUUCCACUGUCUAUCGCUCGGUGUCUGAGGGAUAAUGGCCUGACAGUGCCGACAAGGACCAGAUGUGCAGUGGAUGGGUCGGGUCGGUCAGUGCUGGGAAGAAGAGAGGAGGGAGGGAAUAAGCUUGGAUGUCAUUACUUGGAAGGGUCACAGGGUCACUGACAGUGGCAAGAAACAGAUUUUUCCAGCUGCUUUCGGGCUGAGAUUUGCUCUGCAUAAUCUGGAUGCUUUUAUCUGUUUCUGAAAAUAGACAGGAAUUUUUUCCACAGGCUGCUCCAAUCUGGCUGUGGAGACGUGAGGGGGGAUUGAAGAGACAGUUGCAUGCAGUCCGGUAUGUUCGUUUGGAGCCCCCAUCCUCCACUUGUCCCUCCCUGCACCAGCCCUACAGGACAACAUCAUCUUAAUGUCCCUUGAAGAGGAGGGUCAGAAAUGUGAUGGAUACUUUCCACUCUGAAUUUUGCUUAGCAUCAGAGUAAGCAAUUCUUCCAUCGUUUGCCGUAAACACUCAGAGUAAAAGACCUUGGUGUGGUCAGAAGCACAGCUCUUUUAUCUAUAGCAUAACAACACCAUUCAGGAGACAAAUGAAGCAGGAAAGACAACGGCUCCGUCAGACUUAGGCUGUAUGGUUGUUACCAGUUCCACAAAUCGUUCUCUACCUUUGUCCUACCCUACAAAGAAGCAUUGCAAAUUAUCUGCAGAGAUCUUCUGGAAGGUUAACUCUGGAUUAAAUCAGGCUCAUCUCUCAGCAGCUGGUCCCUCUCGUCUGAGAUCAAAAGGAUCUUGAACCUUCCAAGUGAACUGCUGUCAAGCGAACAGCAGGAGGACCUCGAAUAUUAUUUACAUAGAGUUUUCUUUCCCCAAUUAUGUAUUGGUUUCUUCUUGUUACAAGCCUAUUUUAUAAACAAGGGAACCAAGACACAAAAGAGAAAACAGCAUACAGGAUCAUGUAGGCAGCCAUUAGGCCAGAAAUGAACAUAUCUUGAUGCCGCCUAUAUCUAUUCCAGCAUCUCGUUUCAAUUGUCAUUCAGCCACCUACCAAGAGAAAGGGCUCAGUUGUUUCGAGCAUGCAGGAGAACAACGUAGACCUUGUUGUAAAUGGAAAUUGACCAUGUGUACAUGGAGGCAAGAGGAGAGUGGCAGAUUGAUCCAGAAUGCUGGCAGUACCUCGAGGCUCUGAGAUGCCUUCCUUGUCCCUAGGAACGAACAGCCUCCUAAUUACAUCAGAGAGCUAGGAGGGGGGUAACAAAAGCAGACAUGGCAACUCGGUACCAUCCACUAUGGCCAAGGUCCUUGGAGAACUCUCAAUGAUGGCUGUGUCUAGAACCUGCAGUGCGGGAGUCACUUUCCCAAUGACACAGCUUUUCAACAUGAGGCAGUGCUAGGGAUCAAGUGUGUUCCCAGCUCUCACGCCUGGUGCUAGGGUGGCAUCACAAAGACCAUUGUAGUGCACAGGGAAAGGACUUGGAUCGACUGUGUGUACAAUGCUUGUGUCUCACCAGUUUUAGACAUGGUCAUCAAAGAGGGCAAAGAAGGGGAAGAAAGGCACAAAGAUCAGGGGAAGAUGGACAAAGACAUGGGAGGGAGGGAGACUAGAAGGAUGAGACAAAAACCUGAAUAGUGGUAACACGGAGAUAGUCAACAGCCUUCAUACAACAGGGCAGGGCAAGCCAGAGAGAAAGGGGGCAAAGGCAUUUUUAGCAGAGUGAGCCUACAUUGGCUCCAUAAUUGCUGUACCUUUAAGCCUCAGUGGGGACAUAGACAAACAAUCUGACCCACCGUUCCAGGGUCUUCUAGCCCAAAGCAACUCAGAGGAAAGAGGAGCAGGGAGCUGGCUGGUUUUAGAUGCAUGGAAAGAGGCAGGCUGGCAUCUGAGUCGCCCCCUCUUCUGGAAGCACCAAUGCACAUAGGAACUGACUUGCCGCUGAUGUCAUCUGGUAGUGACUUGUACAAGAGGAAAUGGUGGCACAUGGCAGCAGACACUUGUCCACGCUGUUCUUCAUUUCCCCAGGUACAGUUCCAAGGAUGUAGAAUUGCAGCUCUUUCAUAAUAAUAAAUAAAGUUAUAAAAGGAAAAAAUGGAGUACAUGGAGAACAGACUUUUAAGAGGAUCCUCGAUGGACGGAAAACAGACUUUCAUUCUUCUUGUUGGACCACUGGGGGGAUACUGUGUAGCAAAAGGUACAUGAGCUUCCACCUCAGGAAGAUAGAAACUUAAGCCUACCUUUGCUACAUAGUGGCCUUGAUAUCUUUGAGCCCCCUGUGUCCACAUAGGCAUCUGUGCAAUAGGAAAAUGCUAUCUACCAUGCAGAGUUCUUAUGAAGACUGGUGUUGAGUGCUUGGCAUCUGAGAGGUGGAUAUCUCUUGGCUAUUAACAAACUUUUUGCUGACUCCUAUGCUGAGCCCAAGAGCUUUCUUAGACGGCAUUCUUGUUAGGUGCCCCACCCGCCUCCUUGUUUUUGUUCUGUGCUACUUUGAAGUGGAACUUCAAGAGCAUGGAGUCCCAGCCAUUCCUUUUCUGGUUGUACACAGGUGGGUGGUUGAUUCAAGGUCAUCAACCGGGCACAGAGCCGGUUGAAGCACUUGGCUUCUCAGACAGUAUUACUUCCUCUACAGCUUGUCCGCCUUUUUGUAAUUUUCAUGGUUUUCAGGAUAGCCCAGUGCAUUGCCCGGUCUCAAGGCUGACUCAGAGUCCUUGCCUGUGGUAGCUAUAGAAGAAAAGAUAGGGUCGAACAUGGAUGAGCAAGAGGUCCACUAUAAAAGUAACUCUUGGGCAGGAGGUUCUAUGCCCCCUUUGUUCGCAAAUAACUUGGGUAUUUCUAUACCCUCUUUAGCUCAUUUUUGCCCCUGCCUAAACGACACAGAGAGCUGGUUCUGAGCUACUCUAACCCUCUAAGGCUGCCUAUUUCCCAGCCACAUGUUCCUUUAUCCUCCGUCUGAGUCUUGCUCUAGUUCAUUUGGGUCCACGUACAUCCAUGUAUAGACUCCCUUGGCGCCCUGCUCAUGGCGACUCCUCAUGGUCUCUCCACAUCUUCCUCUCCUCUGGUCCUUCUCUACCCUCUUGUCUCCUUUGGGAACCCCUAACUGGAACCGGAAGUCCUGCCCAAUUCUCUUCUGCCUAGUUAAUUGGCUGAUUCAACUCUUUAUUAACCAAUCAGGAGGUGUGGAGAAGACUGAGACAUAAAAUAAAAAUUCAUAAAAAUUCACAAUACCAAAGUCUGCCCUAUACUAACUCUUUGCCAGUAGAGAAAUCAGCAUUUGAAUAAUAUGAAGACAACCUUUAUACAGAUCACAAAACCAUCCUCCAACACCCCACCCUUUUGUUCAUCUCUUAUCUGGGGGCUUGGAACAGUUGAACCAUCCAUCUUUUGGGUGUUAUCAGGGCAGCAGCAGCAGAGACUUUCAUUUGUAACUGAGUUCAAGGCUAUCUUUUCCACAGGAGCCCUUUCUGCUUCCCUGGGAGAGGUAGCAGUCAUGACACCGUGCUGUGGAAUGUUCUAUCCACUUGCUUUGGAUUUUAGGAAUCCAUCCAAUGACCAUGCAGGAAGUCAUCUCAACCUUCCCUGCCCGUAAGAAGCUUUAAAAUUGGCCAGAACCUCGGGGGCAGUUGAGCUAUUAAUGGAAAAUGAAUCAACUCCGAGGCCCUUAAAAGUUAAUACUACUUGUGUAGUAUAAACCACAUUCCCAUAGACCUUGACGGAUGUCUAGGAAGCCUUGUGGCUUCCUAGAAGAAACAGCCUUCUCACAAGCUGUGCUGCUUUUUGAAUUUGUCAGGCUGAGUAGGUAUGCAUCUUCAACAAGGAUGGGUUAGCAUAGGCAGAGGCAGGACUGAAGGACCUUUCAAACGAGACCUGGAAAGAAUGGGACCACACCCUUAGUCCAACCUCUUGUCAGAGCCAAGUUCAACCCCAGGAUUUCCUUUUCCUAUAGCUCAUAGAAAAGAGGGCCAGACACUUGCAACAGGGCUUUUCUAAUUCCAGGCAAGGCUUACUUUUUGGAGUAUGGACCUGUGGGUGUACCCUGGUAGUUGGAGCUCAUCCAACCAUGCUGGCCCCAGCCCCUAUCCAUACCACUCACCCUCAUGGCUCAGGGCCUUUGCACUCACAGCCUCACUCAGAGCUGCUGCUUCUCCUCUAGGAGAGGAGAAGCUUCCCCAGUGCUAACACCAGAGGCUUUAGGGCAGCCAUCCUCCACUGUCCUAAUGCUAUAAUACAGCUCCUCCUGCAGUGGUGACCUCCCAGCCAUAAAAUUAUUCUGUUGCUACCUCAUCACUGUAACUUUUCUACUGUUAUGAAUCGUAACAAAAAUAUCUGAUAUGCAGGACAUUUGAUAUGUGACUCCUGUGAAAGGGUCGUUCAGCUCCCAGAGGGUUUGCACACUUAGGUUGAGAACCACUGCUCUAAAUGAUCACCUACAUACUCCAUGUCUUUUCCCAUGGUCACAUGGGGAUUAUGUUUAGGAACUACGGUUUAGAGGGGAAUGCUAGCCUUCCCUCUUUUCUACAUGCAUAUAGGAAUGCAGGCAUGCAUGCAGGCUUUCUACCUCCAAUCAACUCUAUCAUCAGCUGAGCCCUGUUUCCUUCCACAGCAGGGUCCUUGGAGCCCAGCGCUGAGCUGGUGUUGGCUCUAAAAAUAACCGUGUCCACAGUGAUGAAUGGGAAGGCAUUUGCUCUCCUUUCCCUGCCUCAGCGCCGAGCCUGACUCAUGUUGGAAAAUGACAUUCUGUUAACACAAGCACUUUUGUUUCCUCCUGUGCUCACUCAACAUCCGGUGAGGGCCCUGGCCAGGCCUGACUUUCAAUUUUCAAAGCCUCUUUUGGAGGUCUAUUCCAUAUCCCUAUCUAGUGACAUUAAGGAUACCUUUAGACAAAAAGGAAGGAGAGAAGCAUCUUGAACAUCCCUGGAGGAUGCUGUGGAUGUGCUGGGUCCCAGCAACACCUAAACCAGGCACGGUGGCCUACACCAGUGAUCUUAGUAUUUGGGAAGUAGAAGGAGAAGGACCAAAAGUUUUUAAACUUAAAUUCAUCCUCAAAUGCGGAGAGAGUUUGAGGCCAGCCUGGCCUGCCUAAAACCCUGACAAUAAACAGACUGACAAACCGACAGACAGGCAGACAGAUUCUGUUGGACAGAAAGGUAGGCAGACAUAAGAGGAGAGUCAGGUUCCAAAAGUGGCCAUAGGGCUGCAUUGCCCAGUCAGUCACACCUUUCAGUGUUUGUUGGGGAGGUGUGAGGCAACCAGUCCUUAGCAGGAGAUGUUGGCCUUAGGGACAUUCCAGUGUUAACUCUUGUUUUGAACUCAGGUGCCUUCACAAAGUUAAUAAAGAAGGAGGGGUGGAUGCUAGCUCCUAGAUUCAGCUACUUCUGCAUUCAAAGUUGGUUGAUUCAGCUGACAGGAGCAGGAAGAGCUCCCUGUGGCUCAACAGAUCACUUUGGGGGAAGGACCAAGUGGACCCUGAAAAGUAGGCUUCUUUCUGUGCUUUCAGUUUCUCCUCUCUGCUCCGUGACUCCUUAGAGCAAGCCAGCCAGGGGAGCUCUUUUUCAGAAGGCCUGGGCUUUUCUUGGUGAGGUCUUCCCUUCAUUCUACUCAGUAUUCCUUAUCUUCUCUGUCUUGCCCUUCCUUCUCUCCUCUCCCUAGUGUAAGACAUAGCUUUUCUACAUUUAAAGAAGAAGUUAACCAUUUUUAAAAAAUAAUUUAUUUUAUUUAAUGUGCAUUGAUGUGAAGGCACCAGAUCUUCUGGAACUGAAGUUACAGACAGCUGUGCACUGGCAUAUAGGUGUUGGGAAUUGAACCCCAGUCCUCUGGAGGAGCAGCCAGUGCUCUUAACUACUGAGCAGCUCUCUGGCCCAGGCGUUUUCUACUCUGAUUACUAAACAAGUAUAGACCAUUCUGUUUGAGUUCUCUGUUGACUACAGAAGGUUCCUGGGCCAUGUGGGCAGUGUUCAUCCUUGCUUUCUUUCUUUCCUUAGAGUUCAGGGGCUUUGAUGUAUGUCCUAACAGUUCAUGUGUUUGAAGCACAAUUUUGUACAUCAUAGGUCAGUGGAAUUUGGAGGCAGGACCUUGAGUGGGGUUACGUGAAAUCAUGAAGAUGAGGUCUCUAUAAUGGCCUUGGUGCCUUUGUAAGAGGACAAGCAAUCUGGAUUGCCAUGUUCCUUCUUUCUCAUGAUAGCAUGACCUCUCCCAUGUUAUGAGACAGCAAGAGGGCCAUCACCAGAAGCACUUAAUGUUGGAUGUUUUGGAAGUAUAAGGAAUUAAAUUUCCUUAUAAACAGCCCAGUCUCGGGUGUUUUGUUCCAGCAGUAGAAAAAGAAAAGCCAAGAGGUGUGCCCAUAUUUUGAAGAGUGCCUGAGGACACUGAUGCCCUUGGCUGCUCUCCAAACUAUUUUGGUGGUCACUCACCCCUGAAUGCCUGGCCUGAACCAACUUAUAUUGCUUUGUCUUUCCUGAUAGUUCUUGUUUGCAUGCAUGACUCUGUAUCUUUCUUUGUGAUCUUGUCACUCUCCAAGACUUACAUUUUUUGUACUUAUCCACUCAUCAGCAGGGAUAACUAACCAGGAGAGGCAUAUCCAAGGAAAAAGAUCGGGCAGAGAUACCCUCUCUCCACCACUAUAUCUACUGAGAUUUCUCUACUGAGAAAGCCCCUCAAGGGACUGGGAAAACUUUGCACACUGCGAGCUAAAAUGGAUUAGGUCCCAGGGAAUUAUCCUGGAUGUCUGCAGAGUGGAGCCAAAGUCCAUCUUGGGAUAUUUAUAUGAUGACAGAAGCUUCCAGCAUUGACCGAUGCCACGCACAGUUGAGCAGCAGUGGCUUCUGCCAAGUCCUCUCCGUUUGCAAAAGUCUCCCGCUUGCUAAACAUGUCAGUUCCUUGCUGAGGGUUAACUGCUCGGCAAGGUUUUGAUCUAUAUGUGAAAAAGCAACCGGAGUCACUUCUGCGGGCAACCAGCCUCUGCCUCUCUCCUUCCUUUCCCUGUCUCAGGAUGACAUCUCAACAGCCUUGCUCUGAUGGCUGCCACAGAGCAACUCUUCUAAAAUUAGAGGGCACAGAGAUCUUUUUCAUUUCUUUUUAAACUUGGACCUUGUAAGUUAACCUUCUCCCCAGCGAGGUAGGCUUCUAGACAGGCUGGUUUCACUGCUAUAAAGAUAAAUGAAAGGCUAAGUAGAGCCAGGAGCACCACCCGGGGCUAUAGCUGAUGACUUGACAAGUCAUUUAUUCCAGGGCAUAGCCUGGCUUCUAGCCAGGCCCUCCAAUGGAAGCUGAGCUAAGGAAAAACCCCAGUGAGGUGGGUGACCCCCAGCAUGGGUCCUCUGCUUUCCGCUAAAGCCAUCCAGCAUCUGGUGGAUGUGCAUAAUUAGUAUCGCUUUGGAGGAUAAUGAUUUGGUCUCAUGGAAAAAGGAGAGUUUGUCCAAGAUAAUGUCUGGUAAACUUUGACAUUCCACCCUGAAAUGGCCUUCACGUAGAAUCACUAAACAGCCAGGAGAUCACAUUACAGCAUGUUCCACCAUUGAAUCUGUCCCCAAAUCCCAGUCUUGCCUCAAACAAAAGAAGCCCUGAUGUGGGAGGAUCUGGAUCAGCAGAUGGAAGGAAAAACAUACACUGCCAAGGCUAAACUUCUAAAGGUUUCGGCCCAAUAGUUUUCACUUUGUGUUUGGAAAAACCCAAGAUUCAAGAAUAGAGAAUCAAAGUGGAAGAACAGGACAAAGUGAAUGACUUUCACUCUCUAGAGCAAGGCGCCCACUCACCUCUUAGGGUUGCAGAGUCCUUUUAUCUGUUCUCUUAAAGAACCACUGAGGGGGAGUGUGUGGGCCAGGGGGCAGUGGUGCAAUAUCAAUAGUGGAAAGAAAUGAAGCUGUCCCCAUAGGCUUGUUGGCCAGGACGUGAGAUCUUGCCGUCUAAGAGGGAGAGGUGAGGAAGAGGUGUUGACUAAGUCCAGAUUUUGCUAAGCUACAAACACAAGACUCAACAGGAGGAGGCAAGUCAUCUUGUUCUGUGACACAGGUGAAAAGUUGUGCCUGUGAAAUCUUUCCAGAGGACUUAACAAAAGAGCAGCCCGUGCUGCUUAGCCAAUGGCAAGUCCUAAACACCCACUGCGUGUGGGGCGCCCUGCUGUUGCACUGCUGUUACAGGGAAUCAAGAGGGUGAGCAGGGCAGGGUGGCCAGUCUAAGAGCCAGUCUGGUGGCUGAGGUGGUGGUAUUUUUACAGGUGCACACCAAGGGCAUACAUCUCAAGGGAUGGGUUACUUCGUAAAGUUCAGAUGAGUUCCCCCCUCCCCCUUUGACAUCACGCUGUCAUAUCCUAUCCUAAACAACUCCUAAACUUUAAAAUUAUCCUCUCAAUAAAAUGUUGGCAAUUCACUCAGAGUCCUCUGGAGUGUUUUGAAACUGCUGGUUGAUGAAAUCCCCAAGGCUGGCAAUCACAAAUGUAGUCGAAAGGACUUGGGCUCCUGGGACAGAGAAACAUAGCCUUAAAUCUGAGUUUGUUGUUUAUUGGUUAUGUGACCUUGGAGUACUUCAUCUCACUCAGAGUCCCUGUUCUAACUAUGGCAUUGAAAAGUCUCCUGAAGAAUGAAAGCCUGUGGGCCUACAUACCUAGAUACCUUCAACAUGUAUUCCCUAUAUUUACAGGCACAAUUAUAAUGUAUUAGGUACUUGGAGAGACAAGGGAGACUUCUGAUAAUCCUUAGUCUCAGGGAGGCAAAAAUGUGGCUGAUGUUUCUUCUGUCCCUGAAAUCACUAGCAAUGUAGAAAGCCUAGCACGUCUCUCCCCUGCCUCAGUGGUUUCUUUGCAUUGGUAGCGGUGGCAGGAACUUUCAGAGGCUGCUUCACACCAUCCACAUUACAUUGUUUUUCCAUGGCUGGCUUCAGUUUACACUAGGGCUCACUCAAAGCUCGUAAAGUUCCCCCUGAAACCUCGUAACGUUUCACCUGUGGAAGUUUAUUGCCCACAGGAUGUGAACUGUGUCCAUUUGCUCUUGAUAGAUUUGCCAUUAUUAAAUAUGGUUUCCCAUUUUCUACCAGUCUUGUAAAGAUGGCCACCUCCUGAUUGGGCAUAAUAGACAAUCUCCCCCGGUGAGGAAAUAUCUCAACUCCUCAAAACAGUUUUGCUUGUCAGCAAGGAUUUUUGUUCCCAGGCUUCUGAGGUUCAGGAGUUUGCUCCAGACCUGGGCAGUGUGUGUCCUCCCUAAAGUACACUCCAAAUUUACUCCAGCUACUCAGACUCCUCCUAGCUGUCAUUCUUAGGAAUCCGUUCAUAGAUGUAUGCCGACCUGAAGAGUUACGCUUAUUGGAGACAUUAGAGGGGUGUUAAAGUUGUUUGUGGUUGUGUGACUAGGAAGAGCCCCUGUAGACUCAUGUGUUUGAAUGUUUGGCCGGCAGGAGUGGCACUAUUAGGAGGUGUGGCCUUGUUGGAGUAGGUGUGGCCUUGUUGGAGUAGGUGUGGCCUUGUUGGAGUGGGUGUGGCCUUGUUGGAGUGGGUGUGGCCUUGUCGGGGAAAGUGUGUUGCUGGGAGUGGGCUUUGAGGUUUCAGAUGCUUGAGCCAGGCCCAGCGUUACUCUUUCUUCCUGCUGCCUGUGAAUCAAGAUGUAGAACUCUUGGCUCCUUCUCCAGCACCAUGUCUGCCUGCACACUGCCAUGCUUCCCACCAUGAGGAUAAUAGACCAAACCUCUGAGACUGUUAGCCAGCCCUAGUUACAUAUUUUCCUUUAUAAGAGCUGUUGUGGUUAUUAUGUCUCUUCGUAGCAGUAGAAACUCUAAGACAAUGUUCUUCCUAAAGUUAAGGGCAACUUUCAAAUGCAUAAAAGCAAUCUGAAUGGGCUAAAAUUCCUCUCUCUGGGACAGUCACCCAAUGGCUUUGGUGUUAUAUGGUGGUUCUAUAGAUAAGAACACAUAAAGAGUCUCUCAGGUGUGUGUCUGAGUCAAGAAGAGCUUUUAGGGGUGAAGCUCAGUGAGAAAAACUUCAUUCUGUUCCUAUGAUGGAGAAUGGACCUGGCUGCACAGAGACACUUCAGGGGUAACCAUAUGUGCAUCGUCAGUUCAGACACUAACAGAGCAAAGUUGAGGGAAGUUCAAACCCAGAUAAAGCCCAUUGAUCUGAGAAUGCAAUUUGAGGAGCUGAGGCUAUGGAGUGAGACUCAAGGAAAUGAUAUAGAGAUGUCCUGGGAUGGUGUGGAAAGAGGAAUGGUGGGAUCUGCAGCUAGACAGAGCUAAAGUGUCUCUCAGCCUGGUACAUGAGGCAGGUAGAGAGUCCGGUUACAAUGGAGAAACAUUGGGCUCAGAGAACAAAGUGGAGGAACUCAGGUUGAAGCCUGAUAUUUCACUGUAAACUUUAACAGAAACUGAAGUCAACAGCUCAGCCUUGUCUUGCGUCCGUUGUCUGCUCUCCUUGUUCUGAAGUACAAACAGCCAACUCACGGCUCAACGACGAUCUGUUGGCUCAUAAAUCUCCCAGUUAUUGACACCAAAGGGAGUUCUUUCUUCAGGAACUGGUAAGCCCUGGUGACUGUCUAUCGCUAGGUUCCUAGUUGAUCUCCUUUUCAGGAAGAUGUUUCUAGGUCCUAGCUUCCAGCAGUUUCUGCUCACUUUCUCCCAGUUCUAAAUUCAACUGAAAGUGAGCCCUUUCUUCCUAAGAAUUCUUAAAACAGGACAGAAAGAAAAGGGUUGCGGAAUUGGGACAGGUAGGCCUUUCUGGAGCUCAGAAGUAGAGGACUAGCUAUGGAAUGAAGGAGGAUGGGUUCCCAGGGGAACAGGCAGAUCCUGGUGAAGCACACAGGGUAGAUGUCUACAUCCCAGCCUGCAGCCCAUGAGCCCUGGAGCUGGGGGCACCAGGCUUGGAAGGCAAGAGCUGCCAAUGGCAAUGAACGGAGAGUGUCUGCCAGCUGGAAGACCUCCCCUUUGUCAAAGCUCAGCCCAACACUUCAGGCAUGAGCCAACCUGCAACACAGACAAAGGAACUCCAUUUCUAUGUCAGGACUUGUCUGUUAGGGAACGCCCAUGCCUGGAAUGCAGGUGUUCCACAGCCUCCAACACAUCUGCCAGGCAUGCAGAAAAUGCCCCUCAACUCCCAACACACACACACACAUACACACACACACACACACACUCACACACAUACAAUGCACUCAUAUACACAGUAACACACACUCACAGACACACACACACAGACAUUCACACACACACACACAUACACACACACAAACACCACACUCAGACACAAACACACACACACAUACACACAUACAUACACUCACACACACACCACACUCAGACACAAACACACACACAUACACACAUACAUACACUCACACACACUCACACACAUACACUCACACACAUACACAGUCACACACAAACACCACACUCAGACACACACACACACACACACACACACACACACACACACACACACACACCAGACACACACACCACAUACCCCUAGCCUUCUGCACAGGGACCUUCUUUCAGGCACCCUGUCCCCUCUUUUCACAGCUUCAGUGUUUGCUUCCACUCCCUUUCCAACAUCAGGGGAUAUUUGACCGAAUGAAGAAAGAGCAUGUAAAGCGGUCUUACUCUGCUCAUCUUUCUCUUCCUCGGGCCAUAAUCAUAACAGUACUUCAUUAUACUUUUAAAAUGCCCAGCUUGUCUCAGCUGGGUGAGCCCAGGCCUGACUUGGGCAUACAUGCCAGCAUAGAGCGGCUCAAUCCCUGAAGCCUGACUGCCGAGAGUUCACCGUCCCUUGAUCUUAAUCUCAGGGCCCCUUCCUUCUUUCCAAAGGCUUUUGGAGGAGAGGGACAUUCUUCUAAGCAAGGGGCAUACUGAGAAGUCAUCGCUAUGAGUUCAUUCUCCACACUGGAGACAUUAGAAUCUGCCCUUCCUUGCACCCCUACCCUCUACCCCUCCGCCUUCAAUUCUUCUGCUCUUCGAGCUGGAAACUCUCCUGACAAAGCAAAGACAGAGGUGACAAAUCAUGUAGGGGUCACAUUCCUGUGUCUCCCCCUCUUGGCUACCCCUAGGCUGAGGGAGUCUGGAAAACAUCAAGUGAUUCAAAGAAUGAGCUGAAUGGUUCUUCAUGCUUCCUAUGUGGUGCCAAGGAACAGAGCAGCAACUGAUGCAAGAAUUGGACAGAGCAGGAGUUGAGCUCAGAAUCCCCACAAAGAAUAUUUAGUCGGUCCUCAGCUCCGAAAAAAAAGAACCAAAAAAAAAAAAGAAUAUUUAGAUGUGCUCAAUGGAUCUGUGUACAGCUACAAGGCUUCGGGGCUGGGCAGAGCUGGGUUCUGCUCAAAGGGUAUGUGCAGCCAGCGUUUGCUGGAAUCCUCCUCUUUUCCUAGGGCCUAUUCCUCUGAAGUAAGAAUAAUGGUGCUGGGUAAUUGGGGCAUCUGGGACAGGCCCAGCAAGGUCUCGGGGUUUGGAGAAAUGUCAUUUAUUUCAUUGAGAGGUGACAAGCAGGCAGCAGGGGGGAAAGUCUCUCAUGGGACAAUGACACGCUCCACACAGUUGUUCCGCAUGUUCAACAGGCUGUGUGUGGUCCAGUAAGACAGACGCAUCCUGGCAUAGUCUCCUAGCCUCAGUCUCUGUCAACAGAGAAGCCUCUCUGGAUCACAGCUGCGCCAUUUUUUUCUUUCUUAGAAAUUCCCAAAGACCCUGCACGCUGAUCUUGCUCCGCCCAGGUAGCUGACCCUGGAUCGGACCCUUCACUGUUUCCACGCUCUUUCAGAUUCAGAAGUACCUUGUCUGGAUUUCCUGGAGUCAGAGCUAAAGCGGACAGCUUGGUUCCCCCUACUCUCUUCCCAGUCUGUGUGGAACCUAAGCUCUGUUUUGUUUGCUUGGUCUUAUUUGCUUCGAGGCUGCCCUUUGCGCAUGCUCAGAACCCUUCUGCGGCCCUCGUAUAAAAAUCCGUUGGCUUCAAAACUGGUUUUUGAACUUGGGAGUUAAAAGAUACAGGCAUUAUUACAGCCAGGGAGAGUGUAUGGAAGCACAAUAUCUAAGCGAGGUGCCCAACAUAGAUUCCUGGGAUAGGGGGACAAAAGGUCUUUUGUUGAAAGCCAAGACAAUCUGAGUAAAGGAUUUUAGCUGAUAAAAGACUCAAAACAAAUUGACAUUUUCUCCCAUUGCAAUCUGAUUUGAAUAAUCCCACAUUUCCCCCACAGGACAGCUAUCUCGAAGAGGAUUAAGAGCAAGAACUGGAAAAAAAGAAAGCAUAUAAAGACUGAGGUUUCAGUGGAUAAUUACAUGUAUUUUUUUUCCCGUAAUUCCAUUCAUUCUUUGUAGCAAAAUAAACCAAUGGUAGAGAAC